rnacentral:rRNA from 1 species
GUGGGGAAUUUUGGACAAUGGGCGCAAGCCUGAUCCAGCAAUGCCGCGUGCAGGAAGAAGGCCUUCGGGUUGUAAACUGCUUUUGUACGGAACGAAAAGGCUCUGGUUAAUACCUGGGGCUCAUGACGGUACCGUAAGAAUAAGCACCGGCUAACUACGUGCCAGCAGCCGCGGUAAUACGUAGGGUGCAAGCGUUAAUCGGAAUUACUGGGCGUAAAGCGUGCGCAGGCGGUUGUGUAAGACAGACGUGAAAUCCCCGGGCUCAACCUGGGAAUGGCGUUUGUGACUGCACAGCUGGAGUGCGGCAGAGAGGGGUGGAAUUCCACGUGUAGCAGUGAAAUGCGUAGAGAUGUGGAGGAACACCGAUGGCGAAGGCAGCCCCCUGGGCCAAUACUGACGCUCAUGCACGAAAGCGUGGGGAGCAAACAGGAUUAGAAACCCUAGUAGUCC